GCCAGAGUGGUGGAACGGUAGACACGCCGGCCUUAGGAGCCGGUGCCCCAACGGGCGUGAGGGUUCGAAUCCCUUCUCUGGUA
rnacentral:tRNA from 1 species